rnacentral:rRNA from 1 species
GACGAACGCUGGCGGCGUGCUUAACACAUGCAAGUCGAACGAUGACGACCGAGCUUGCUCGGUCUGAUUAGUGGCGAACGGGUGAGUAACACGUGAGCAACCUGCCCUUCACUCUGGGAUAACCUCGGGAAAUCGGGGCUAAUACCGGAUAUGAGCUCCUGUCGCAUGGCGGGUGUUGGAAAGUUUUUCGGUGAAGGAUGGGCUCGCGGCCUAUCAGUUUGUUGGUGAGGUAGUGGCUCACCAAGGCGAUGACGGGUAGCCGGCCUUAGAGGGCGACCGGGCACACUGGGACUGAGAGACGGCCCAGACUCCUACGGGAGGCAGCGGGGGGGAAUAGUGCACAGUGGGCGGAAGCCUGAUGCAGCGGCGCCGCGUGAGGGAAGACGGGCUUCGGGGUGUAAACCUCUUUCAGCGGGGAAGAAGCGAAAGUGACGGUACCUGCAGAAGAAGCGCCGGCUAACUACGUG